rnacentral:tRNA from 1 species
ACAUUCGUAGCUCAACUGGACAGAGCGCCGGCAUACCAAGCUGGAGGUUGUGGGUUCGAGUCCCACCGGGUGAC